UACGGGGGGGGCAAGCGUUGUUCGGAAUUACUGGGCGUAAAGGGUUCGUAGGUGGCCAACUAAGUCAGACGUGAAAUCCCUCAGCUCAACUGGGGAACUGCGUCUGAUACUGGUCGGCUUGAGUGCAGGAGAGGAACGCGGAAUUCCAGGUGUAGCGGUGAAAUGCGCAGAUAUCAGGAGGAACACCAAUUGCGAAGGCAGCUCGCUGGGACGUUACUGACGCUGAGACGCGAAAGCGUGGGGAGCAAACAGG
rnacentral:rRNA from 1 species